GGGGGGCUAAUACAUGCAAGUCGAGCGAUUGUUGAGUUUACUCAACAAUUAGCGGCGGACGGGUGAGUAACACGUGGGCAACCUGCCUAUAAGACUGGGAUAACUUCGGGAAACCGGAGCUAAUACCGGAUAUGUUCUUUUCUCGCAUGAGAAAAGAUGGAAAGACGGUUUCUCCUUGCCCUUUUUAAUGGGCCCCCCGCCCCAUUACUUAUUGGGGAAGGAAUGGGUCCCCCAAGGAACCAUGCCUAACCCAACUGAAAAGGGGGAUCGGCCCCCCGGGACUGAAACCCCGGCCAAAAUCCUACCGGAAGGAACCAUAAGGAAACCUCCCCCAUGGAACAAAGUCCGAACGAACCACCCCCCCUGGACCAAUAAAGGUUUCCGGUCCUAAAGGUUCGGUGGUUAGGAAAAACCAGUUCCCAAAUUACUGGCGGGACCCUUGCCGGACCCUACCCAAAAGCCCCCGCUUACUUCCUUGCCACCACCCCCGUAAUUCCUAAGUUGGAAGCCUUUUUCCGAAUUUUUGGGCCUUAAGCCCCCCCCAGGGGUUCCUUUAAUCCGAAGGUAAAACCCCCCGCUUCCCCGGGAAGGCCUUUGAAACCUGGGAAAUUUGAUGGAAAAAAGAAAUGGAAUUUCCCUUGUACCGUGAAAUUGCUAAAAAUUUGAAGAACCCCAUUGCCAAAGGCACUUUCCGGUCUUUACUUAACUUAAGCGCGAAGCGGGGGAACAAACAGAAUAAAUCCCUUGUAGCCACGCCUAAACAAGAAUGUAAGGGUAAAGGUUCCGCCUUUAUGGUGCACCUACGCUUAACACUCCGCCGGGGAGACGGCGCAGGCUUAACUCAAAGAAUGACGGGGCCGCACAGCGUGGAGCUGUGGUUAUUCGAGCACGCGAAAACCUACCAGUCUUGAAUCUCUGACCUCUAAAAUAGACGUCCCUUCGGGGAAAAUGACAGUGUGCAUGUUGCCUCACUCGGUCUGAAUGUGGUUAAUCCGCACG
rnacentral:rRNA from 1 species